rnacentral:sRNA from 1 species
UACCUAUUCAUCAAUGAAUCCUUGCAUAUCUUCCUUAUUGGAAUCAGGUUCCUCAAUAGUGUUAACAGCAAAAGAAACAUUUUUCUUCGGCUUUGAAGGUUUUCUUCUUCCGCCGAAAGCAGUGGUAUGUACUCCAGGGACAUCCAAAUCUUCCUCUUUGGAAUUACAGCCAACAGAAAGUGCAGGAGUGUCCACAUCAUGAGAAACACGAGUCAGCCUUGAAGACUUUCUCGUUCCAGUGCUUCCUUUUGUAGACAUCCUUCUCGAUGGCUUCUUCGCAGUAACCGGUGCCUUAUCCAUAGAAGUAGGUGGUUCCCGCGAAUCAUGGGAAGGUAUGGUUUGUUCUGGCCUUUUGCCUUUUGGAUCAAGGGCAGCACGUAUCUGGUCACGGACAAAGUCUUUCAUAUCUUCAUGCAUUUGAUACAUUUGGUCUUCCAGCUCCUUCAAAGACCUCCUCAUUUCAACAAUAAACCUCUCAGGCACAGGCUCUCCAAAACAAUCCUCAGCAGUCUCUUCUUUAUCACAGUCCAUUUCAGAUUUCUGUUUUUUCAUAGCAGGUUCUUUAGGGCUCGGGCCCGGUGCAUUUCGUUUCCUCUUAACAUCUACAAUAGACCAGUUGCUGCUAUUAAUUGGUUUUCUUCUAGGUGCAAUACCAAAAA